rnacentral:rRNA from 1 species
UACGAAGGGGGCUAGCGUUGCUCGGAAUCACUGGGCGUAAAGCGCACGUAGGCGGAUCUUUAAGUCAGGGGUGAAAUCCCGGAGCUCAACUCCGGAACUGCCUUUGAUACUGGAGAUCUUGAGUCCGGGAGAGGUGAGUGGAAUUCCUGGUGUAGCGGUGAAAUGCGUAGAUAUUGGGAGGAACACCAGUGGCGAAGGCGGCUCGCUGGACCGGUUCUGACGCUGAGGCGCGAAAGCGUGGGGAGCAAACGGG